GGCCGCUCUCCUGGCCAGGACACGGCCUGUUCCCAGAACACCGCCUGCCCCAGAGGCCAUUCACCCUGGGCGGUCAGGCUCAAGGGCAGGGGCCCAGCCCAGGAGCCAGGGGUGAGGACUGAAAGGUGCCAGCUGGAAGGCCCCGCGUGCCCACUAGGGCUGCCGGAGGGGGACGCCAAGGGUGCUCAGGGACACGGGCCUGCAGGGUGAUUUCUCAUAAUACACAGAAUGCUUAGCACAGCACAGGCAGAUUCGUUGCCAUCUGAGCCACCAGGGAAGCUUUAUUAUACAGUAAAGGACAUGAGAGGACACAGAUGGACAGCAACGGAGAGACACACACAGGCUGGGCUUUGCUGGAAUGGAAAGGAGGCUGGGGGCGCAGGGGAGGAAGAGAUCGGCUGGGAGGAGCAGAGCUGCUGCCACACCGAGUGGGCACAACAUGGACAAGUGAAUGAAAGCGAGUGACCGGUGGGCUUUGCCAUCCUUGUAUCACACGAGCGCCUCCACCCUUCCUGACAACAGAUUCCAAGGCACCUUCUCCCAACCUGCUGACUCAGACUCAGCGGGAAAGAAGGCCAUGUGAUAACCAGCAGACCAGGGAACUCAGAGAUCAAGUCUGGAAGUCAUCUGGUUCCCCGAGGCACCGUUGAACUGCCUGGGCAGGCCCUAGGCCUGAGAUGCUGAGGCCUCCAGGUUCCAGGGCAGAAGGUACGGUGGCACUGUGGGGACUCAGGAGGGAGCUAAUCCAGGCUCUGGUGACCUCAGCCGCUCCCACGUUCUCUGGGCCUCUGGUCCCGCUCUGGAGAGGAGGCACUCUGUCUCCGGUCUGCUUCAAAGCUGCUGCUGGACACAGACUGGGGCCCAGGCCGGGGACCUGCAGCUCCUGCCUUCAGCACGUAGCAGUCACUUGUCCAGCAGCCCUCUUUGCCUCUCUGAGACUUGGCUUCUGCACAGCCACAUGGGACCAUAAAAGCCUACAGGCUCUUGUGAGCAUUUUUUCCCCUCUUCUUUUAAGAAAACUGUGGUAAAAUACACAUCCCAUAAAAGUUGCCAUUUGAACCAUAUUUAAGUGUCUUAAUUCAGUAGCAUUACAUGCCCUCACACUGUUGUGCAAACAUCACCACCAUUAAUUUCCAGAACUUUUGCAACUUCCCAAACGAAAUCUCUAUCCCCAUUUAACACUAACUCUCCACUGCCCCCCUCUCUCAGCCCCGGUCCCCCACCAGUCUACUUUCUGUCUCUGUGAAUGUGACUGUUCUAGAUGCCUCAUAGCUCUUGUCCUUUUGUUAGAGGCAGAUUUCACCGGGUACAAUGCCCUUAAGGUUCAUCCAUGUUGCAGCCCGUGUCAGAAUUUCUAUCCUUUUCAAGGCCAAAUAGCAUCCCACUGUAUGGAUGGACCACAUGGUCCUGCAGGGUCAUCUCUUAUUUGAUCCCAUCCAUAGGGCUGGUGCUUCUCAAUGUUUCCAUCUUACAUCCCGGCUGGCAAUAAUAAUAAUGAUGAUGAUGGGACUCCCCUGAUGGUCCAGUGGCUAAGAUUCUGAGCUCCCAAUGUACAGGGACCAGGUUCAAUCCCUGGUCAGGGAACUACAUCCUUCAUGCUGCAACCUGCUCUCCAGGUGGCCUAGGAAAUAGUUGCUUCAUCCCUUUGAAGUCCCCUGGGGAACCCUAACUGCUAGGCUGGGUCCUGACCCUGCCAGUCCCAUCAGGGGAGACACAGAGAGACCACUUCUUCUGAGAAACAGAUCCCGUGUGCUGCAACUAAGACCAAACACAGCCAAAUAAAUAAAUACAUAAUUUUUUAAAUGAUGAUGAUGAUAUUUUUUGAGUUGAUGCCUCAAAAUAUGUCUACCCAGAAGCUGUGAAAGUGACCUUAUUUGGACAAAGGGUCUUUGAGGAUGCAAUUAAGUUAAGGAUCUUGAAUGAGGUCAUCUGGAUUAGGGCGCACCCUACAUCCAGUGACACGUUUCCUGAGAGAGGGAUGGGGUGGCGGAGCAGGACAUUGAGCUCACCUCCUCUCACGAGUACACCCAAAUCACAACUGCUGAACCACUCUUGAGAAAAAAGACUGUAACCUACCAAAAAAGAUAUUCUACAUCCAAAGACAUAAAGAAGAAAGCACAAUGACAAGUAUCCUUAAAAGAGACAAAAAAGAAGAAACUUCUCUGGUGGUCCAGUGGCUGCGACUCUGUGCUCCCAAUGCAGGGGGCCCAGAUUCGAUCCCUAGUCAAGGAACUAAGAUCCUGCAUGCCAAGAAAAUAGGGGGAAAAAAAUAAAAAAGAAGGAGAAACCAUAAUGAAACUCACAAUCCUUCUAAGAGACAGAAGAGGAGACAGAAGACGCAGAGGCAGAGAGACCUGAGACCGCAGAAGGGGCACAGAAGAGGGACGUGGCCACAAGCUAAGCAACCCCUGUGACACCAGAGGCUGGGAGAGAUGAGGCAGGAUGCUCACCUGGAGCCUUCGGAGGGAGCACAACCCUGCUGACACCUUGAUUUCGGACUUCUGGCCUCCACAACCAUGGAGAAUCAAUUUCCACUGAUAAAAGCUGCGCAAUUUGCGGUAGUUUGUUCCGACAGUCCCAGAAAACCAAUACAGGGAUUGUCCAAAGACAGCCCAUUGCAUGCCCUCAAGACCAACCUUUCUAUUUAAUAACCCAGUGUUUUUGUUCCCAUUUCAGAGGCCAUUGAGGCUCUGAAAUGUUAAGUAACUUGCUCUCCAGGCGGCCUGGGAAGAAGUUACUUCAUCCCUUUGAAGCCAUCCUGGGAACGACUGGGAACAUCCUAACUAUUAGGCCCAGUCCUGACCCUGCCAGUCCCAUCAAGGGAGACACAGAGAGACCACUUCUUCCGAGAAGGAUGUCUUAUGUGUUUUACAAGCAUUCUGUUAUUACGUUUACGGCCAGCUUUGGGGACAUAAAAUUGCAGCUGUAUUGUGGGGACUAAAUUUUAUUUCCAGGGCUUUAAAACACAAACAAUAACCUCAUUAGUAGCUGAAUAUUGUCAUAAUUCUGAAGAAUAUAAAUAUUACCACAAUAAUAACUGUAAAAUACCAAGAACCCAUUGCAUCAAACUUUGUGGGGGGAAUAAAUGUUACUUCUGGGCCCCCAAACAUGAACAAAUAAUUCCACUCUGGCUGCAAAGGAGCCUCAUACCGGAGAGUAUAAAAUGUGCUGGGUAGGUAACUAUAAAGCACCAACACCAAGGGAAUAUUUCAAAACUGCAGUGGUGCAACUGGGAAUCCAUUUUAUGCCUCUGACACACAUGUAACAAACGAUUCCCUUUGUAGGUAAAUUUUCAAUCAUCCUGCUGACAAGAAUUUUUUACUGCUGCCAUUGUGAAGCUACAAAAGGCAAAAAGCAAAAGUCAUUUCAGCUCCGGGAAAGGGAGAAUGAUAAAAAUGCAGCUUCCCUGCAAGAAAUCUAUGGGGUGGAUGGGAUUAGGGUUGCAAGAUAAAAGACAAGAUGCUCAGGGGUUUCCCUGGUGGCCCAGUGGUUAGGAAUCCUUCUGCCAACGCAGGGGACACCGGUUCGAUUCCUGGUCCGGGAACUAAGAUCCCACAAGCUGUGAGGUGACUAAGCCUGUACACCACAACUCCUGAAGCCUGUGUGCUCCAGAGCCCAUGCUCUGCAACAAGAGAAGCCACUGCAUCGAGAGAAACUAGAGAAACUAGUUGCAACUAGAAAACGCCUGCGCAUUUCAGGUGAAUAAUGAAUAACUAUUAGCAUAAGUAUAUUCCACACAUCGCAUACACUUAUCCUAGCUGUUUAUCUGAAAUUCACAUUUAACUACACACUCGGUCUCUUGGUUUAUUUUACUAAAUUUGACAACUUUUGGUGAGACCAAAGAACAAGGAUGAAUCUCUACCCCCGACAAGUGAAUUCUUUUUUAAAAAUUAUUUUACUUAUUUAUUUUGGCUGCACUAGCUCUUCAUUGCAGCACAC
ensembl:lncRNA